UAGCUUGCUCCCUGAUGUUAGCGGCGGACGGGUGAGUAACACGUGGGUAACCUGCCUGUAAGACUGGGAUAACUCCGGGAAACCGGGGCUAAUACCGGAUGCUUGUUUGAACCGCAUGGUUCAAACAUAAAAGGUGGCUUCGGCUACCACUUACAGAUGGACCCGCGGCGCAUUAGCUAGUUGGUGAGGUAAUGGCUCACCAAGGCAACGAUGCGUAGCCGACCUGAGAGGGUGAUCGGCCACACUGGGACUGAGACACGGCCCAGACUCCUACGGGAGGCAGCAGUAGGGAAUCUUCCGCAAUGGACGAAAGUCUGACGGAGCAACGCCGCGUGAGUGAUGAAGGUUUUCGGAUCGUAAAGCUCUGUUGUUAGGGAAGAACAAGUGCCGUUCAAAUAGGGCGGCACCUUGACGGUACCUAACCAGAAAGCCACGGCUAACUACGGCCAGCAGCCGCGGAAAUGUCGUAACGGCAG
rnacentral:rRNA from 1 species